rnacentral:rRNA from 1 species
AUUGAACGCUGGCGGCAGGCCUAACACAUGCAAGUCGAAUGGUAACAGGAAACAGCUUGCUGUUUCGCUAACGAGUGGCGGACGGGUGAGUAAUGUCUGGGAAACUGCCUGAUGGAGGGGGAUAACUACUGGAAACGGUAGCUAAUACCGCAUAACGUCGCAAGACCAAAGAGGGGGACCUUCGGGCCUCUUGCCAUCAGAUGUGCCCAGAUGGGAUUAGCUAGUAGGUGGGGUAACGGCUCACCUAGGCGACGAUCCCUAGCUGGUCUGAGAGGAUGACCAGCCACACUGGAACUGAGACACGGUCCAGACUCCUACGGGAGGCAGCAGUGGGGAAUAUUGCACAAUGGGCGCAAGCCUGAUGCAGCCAUGCCGCGUGUAUGAAGAAGGCCUUCGGGUUGUAAAGUACUUUCAGCGGGGAGGAAGGGAGUAAAGUUAAUACCUUUGCUCAUUGACGUUACCCGCAGAAGAAGCACCGGCUAACUCCGUG